rnacentral:lncRNA from 1 species
UUAGGGCUAGAGAAAGCCCAGCUAUGCUUGUAUUCCAUGCCUGGCCGGGCUCCCCUGAGCUCUCCUCAUGACUAAUACUUAUUUUGGCCUUUAAAAAAUGGAAAAGCCCUCAGAAAAGAUACCUUUUCCUUAGUAUAGCUCAGCCUCUAAAAUGUAUCAACAUUUGCUACAGGAAAACUGACUACUUCACAUGGGACUAGACCUGGGCCCACUUCCCUCUUGCUGAAUAAAAUCUCUAAUGUUCCAGCCAAGUGUCUGGCUCACAAAAGACAGGGAACUUUGUAACUUUCAGUGUUCUAAAAUCUAAUCAUGAUCCUGUCAUCUCUAUGGCGAUGCUUGGUCCUAGAACAAGAAUACCUAAGUGGCCUGUGUAGGUUGGUAUCGAUGAAAAAGGGAACUAGAAGAGUUGUAGUCGUUUGUUUGUUUGUUUGUUUGUUUGUUUGUUUGUUUGACUGUGUAGCAUGGUAGGCCAUAAGAGAGGAAUUACAUUUUCUCUGGGUUUUAUGUGAUAUACAAUCAAAUAGACCUGGGACUCAGCUCUAAGGUAACAUCAGAAUCUGAUAAGGUGUCAGGACUAUAAUACAAUCCCGAUUAGCAUUUGGAAACAGAAAAAAAAACAAGAAAAAAAAAAGGAAAAAGUAAGUAGGUUUUUGUUUUCUUUGAUAGUGUAUGUAAGUUUUAUUCCCUCAGGAGACACAAUAACUAAGCCAAGAAAUCAAAGAAAGCUUCUAAUCAGAAAAUGUGGAUGUACAGCAGACAGAUGGAUUAUUUAGCAUCACAUUUUAAAAACCUUUUUAUUAAUUUCAGCACUAGACUUAGUUCCAUUACACUUUCUAGUGUUCCUUCUCUCCUCAAACUGUUCCUCAUGUAUUUCUCUUUGUCAAGCGUUCUCCUUUUUAUUAUAGAUGUGCAUAAGAGUGUUCAGAAAUAAUUACAUUACACAGUUAAUACCCAGCUGUUUGGAAGUUUCCUCUGACAACACCAUUAAUAUAAAACUCUUCAAUUUAGCAUCAGGCAAAUUGAGAAAAGGUGAGAAACAGCCACAUUGUUCACCAAAAUAUCACAAAAAACAGUCUGUAGGCCACUUAUUGAUACUCUUCUCCUCGGAAACCCCUUGAGCUCGGGCAUCAUAAUCUCCAUUGCUUUCAACAUCACUGUCAUCCAUGCUGCUCCUAAUAUGGCCUGGCUGGAGACAUAGGAAGAAGCACGAAGCAAUAACCUACAGAAUGCAAACUACUUAAAGCUUCCUCCUCAUGAUUCCUAAGAUUCAAUAAUCGUCUGCCUCCAACUCAAAAGAGAACAUGGCCAAUCAAAUAUUUAUGAAACUAUGUUUUAUAAAGUUGUAUAUUUAAAGACUUAUAAUGUUGAAAGUAAAAGUAUCUGAAGAAAACAUGAGCCUAAAACACUGAAAGACAUCACCAACUUCCUAAUCUGAUGGGAUGUGCUAAGGACACGCCUCAAUAUGCUCCCAGAGAGAAGCAACAUGGGAAUUUCCCCUUUAAAGUAUAAUUCUUCUGAUUCCAAUGGGAGGAAAUCUUUCAUAUAUCAAACACUGAAAGCAAACAAAAAUGAAAUUGAAAAGAGUGUAGUCUGAAAGGAGAAUAUCACCUCCCCUGAAGGACAUAGUAUAGAAACUUGGAACCCAGAUGAAAGCAUUCUAUGGAAGCUGGGAGUCAGGGCCUAGGGGAACUGAAGAUCACUGGCGCCAUUUUGGAUCCUGCCCCUCAUUUCUCAUUCUCCUUCCAGCUCCCCUGAGGGAGUCAGCUCUGCUCUUCCCUAACUCACUAACUCCAUGAUGCUCUCUGCCAUCCGAGCUCCAGAAACACCAGAAUCAACUGAAAAUGAAUUGAAAGUGUUGAACCCCUAAGCAAAAACAAAUCUUCAUAUUUUAAAGUUGGUUUCCUCAGGAAUGUUGUUAUAAUGACAGACACUAGCACAGAGCUAUCAAAAGAGCAAUCAAAAUUUAAUGCUUAAGUAAUUAAAUAAAGAGGGGGCUGGAUAACAGGACAACAAAUUAAAAUAUCAGCAGGUGAAAAAGAGUAGGAUAAACUUGUGAACUUGGCGAACACUGUUUUAGCAGAAAAUGGUAUCAAUCUCAGUUCAGUUUGGAAAAUAUUCUGAAGUAAAAGGGCACUUUUGAAAUAAAAUUAUGUGAUAAGGUGUGGCCUUCCAAACAGAUGUUACUCAGCCUCUAGUUCUUUGUAGAUAAAAGAAUACUUACCAAGGUAUUACCUUGUCAAAUUACAUAUUGGAUUUAACAGUGAUUUGCUCUGGUAGUUGGACUGCUGUAAUGCAGUUCUCUGUGUCUGUUUCGUCAACGUGUGUCAUCAUAACAGCAUUUAAAGAGAUAUACAAUUAUAUAUAUUUGUAUUUGUUCUUUAACAAUUUCAUGCGGGUUCACAAUUCACUUCUAUCAUACACACCCCUCGUCCCCUCCUCCAGAUCCCACUCCCAACUUCACACCUUCAUCUUCAUUUGUCUUUUAAAUGACCCAUGGAGUCCAAUCAGCAUUGUCCCUUUAUCCAUGGGUUAGAACCAUUGCAUGGGUAACCUAUAAGGGUAAACAUCUCUAAAGACAACGUAAUGUCCCUUGCACAGAAGCCCUCAUCUGUCAAUAGCGCCUCAGCUGGGGGUUAGCUCCUCUCCCUGAUUGAUGCUGGAAAGUUGACUUCCUUGAUUUUGACCAGGCCUUGUGUAGGCUAUUACAGGGGCUGUGUGUUCUGGAGUAAAGGGAGUACUAUUAAAUUAAUGAAGAUCAACUGGAAAUUGACAAACUGACAAACUGGCAGAGAACAUAGCAAAGCACUAGAGAAUCCACUGUGUUGAUAAUCUAUGCAGCAAAGACUAACUGGGCCCUGGCUGGGGACCUUUAUUGUCACAGAUGUUCCAGACAAAUGAACUGCAGAUGAAGUCAAGAAUCCUAGCAAAUAACAGAGUGUUUCUGGCAUAAAUGUGCCAGGAGUCCCCAGUGGCCUAGAAAUAGGACUUUACCUCAAAGUAUUUAACAUUACUACCACCAUGCUGCAGUCACAUAAAGGUCUUAAAAAACUUCAAUUCUCUUUUUCCUGCUGUCACAUGAUGAGAUGGCAGCUCCUGAAAACUGAAUCCCUAGACAACAUAAGACCAUUUGCCAGAUGUUGCAUUUUACUGAUAAAUUUUUAGAAAGUGAUUUUUAAAACACACAGACCUAAAAACUGCUUCACUACAUGAAUUUAAAAACAUGCUUAUUUAGACAUCCCAAGUUAAUCACUGAUACAAAACAGGAAAAAGACUACUAUUUACUUGGGAACUAUCAGGACUGCACUUGGCUAGAGGAUGCUUGCUUAGAAUUUUUUCUCAAUUAUAUUUAUUCAUGCUAUACUUAACCAAAAUUAAGACAUACUAGGCAUUCCA